CAGAAACUUGAUUGGUUGUAUGGAGGUGCAUGAGUAAUAGAGAAAAGUGGUGUUGGUUAGAAAGUAUCAGUAAACUUUAAGUGUCAAGGAGUUUAAGAGUUGAGUGUUAGUCCCAGAGAGUGUCCUGAAUCUCUCUCACUGCAUGUCCGAAUCUGAAUCCCCAAACUCCACUAACUCCCUCUCUCUACCAACUAACCUCUCUCUUCCCUUUGUCCUAACUUUUAAAGGGUCAGACUCCCUGUACGUCAUUCGUUGAUAAGGCCAAUAGGAAACUGAGGGUGGGUUCAAUCUAUGGAUCGCAAUUUAGGUAUUUGGUCCAUAGAGAGCAGUCUCGCGUUACUAAACCUUCCUAUCCAGGAAAGAGUUAACUUUUCCUGAUGACGAUUUUGACGUCAUUUGGCUUAUCUAAAAUAACUACCAUAACUUAAAUUUGCUGUCAGUUCAAAGCGUUUGUCUCAGUCUUUGUGGCAACUACUUUGAUCGUAAUUUGUAAAAUUGACAGUUCUAAACUCAAUUUCACCCCUUACUUACAAUGGGACCUUGUAAAAUUUAGAAAGUAAAAUUAAUUACUUAGUCUUCUCUGUCACUAGUGUCUGUGCUUAUAUAAUGCAUUCCUUAGCUCAGGCUCAGUGGUUAGUGUGUCACGUUCUGUUCCUCGCUGCGGAUCAUUCUGCAUUGGCUUCUGGUAUUCAGUACUCUUUUUGCUUUCCUUGCUUGGUUUUUCUGGUCUAUGUCUGGUUUUCUUUGUUGCUGGGAUUUCUGGGUUCAUUUCUGUAAUCCAUGCCUGGGAUUCCCAGUCUCCAGGUUUCCUUUAAAUGUUUGUUUUAUGUUGCCACACCCGCUUGUUUCCACUUACCCUUUUGUUUCAGCUUGGACCUGCAGCAGUAUUUCAUCUCUCUGCCCUUUCUUGCAGGUAAGUGCUAUUGUGGUUUAGUGUGGUUGUUUUAGUAUACAUUAGGCAGUGUAGGACCUGCCAGAUAUGGGGUACAUUGGCGUUGUUGGCAGGCUUAUGCAAUGUAUGAUCAUAUAAUGUAACUAAAUCCCCAUGCUUUUCAUAAUUAGUGCUUAGCUAUGUUUCCUCUUGGUUUUUCCUUGUAUCUCUUGUCUUGUUUUGUAAUCCCAGUCUAUGUACAGUCCUGUCCUGCCCCUGUUUAGUUAAUGUUCCCUUAUGUGUUGUGUACAUGUUCUAGGUUCUGCUUUCUGUCCUGCUCUGGUUCUGCGUUCUCCUAGUUUUGUCUUGUUUUCAUGUAUGGUGCCUAUUUCUAGUCUUGCCCUGUUCUCCUAAUCUUAUCUUGAUCUCUUGCAUGAUGUCUAUUUCUAGUAAUUCCUUGUUCUCCUAGUUUGGUCUUGGUUUCAUGUAUGGUGUCUUGCUCUCCUAGUUCUGCCUUGAUUCAGUACUGGAUACAUCCCUGUUGCAGAGCCUCCCUAUUCAGCUCCUGGGAGGUCUGCUUAAUUAUCUGCUCCUAGUUCCUGGGAUCCGCAUAAGCUGAAUCAGGGUUCUGGUAUGUGGCUGCACAAACGCUGGUGCUCAACACCAGGGGGCGUGUGGUUACCCUGCACCAGACCCUGCCAAUCCAUCUCCACACUGUGACUCCUACACUCAACAUCAGGCAUAAUGGGUCCCGGUCCACGCACCGCCGCCCGGACAGUGUCUGGGUCCCGGGCACCGGACCGCCACCCGUGACAAGUGAAAGCAAGGAAAUUAUGUGUCUUUGUUAUCCUGAAGAUCGCAAAAUGGAGUCCGCUCUGUUCUGAGUGACUCUGGCAAUAUACACUUUAAAUUUCUUUCUUAGCCCAAAAUGUCUGCCAAUAUAAAUAUCCUGACAGGCUAUUCCUUUGACUAUUCUCUGACGUUGAGCCUGGCCACCCUAAAGGUCCGGUAUACGUCUCUUUCUUGGUUACUCUCUGCGUGAAGGGGU